CCGCAAGGACAAGGAGCAAGGUGCUGCAUGGNNNNNGUCAGCCCGUGCCGUGAGGUGUUGGGUUAAGUCCCGCAACGAGCGCAACCCUUAUUUUUAGUUGCCAACAGGUCAAGCUGGGGACUCUAAAAAGACUGCCCGCGCAAGCGGAGAGGAAGGAGGGGAUGACGUCAGGUCAUCAUGGCCCUUACGUCCAGGGCUACACACGUGCUACAAUGGCGUAUACAAAGUGUUGCCAGCCAGCGAUGGCGAGCCAAUCACAAAAAGUACGUCUCAGUUCGGAUUGCAGGCUGCAACUCGCCUGCAUGAAGUUGGAAUCGCUAGUAAUCACGCAUCAGCAAUGGCGCGGUGAAUACGUUCCCGGACCUUGUACACACCGCCCGUCAAGCGAUGGAAGUUGGGAGG
rnacentral:rRNA from 1 species